rnacentral:rRNA from 1 species
CCUACGGGCGGCUGCAGUGGGGAAUAUUGCGCAAUGGGGGAAACCCUGACGCAGCGACGCCGCGUGAGCGAAGAAGGCCUUCGGGUUGUAAAGCUCUGUUGUAAGGGACGAAUGUCGCGAUCAAUAACACGGGUUGCGAAUGACGGUACCUUACCAGCAAGCCCCGGCUAACUACGUGCCAGCAGCCGCGGUAAGACGUAGGGGGCGAGCGUUGUCCGGAAUUACUGGGCGUAAAGAGCACGUAGGCGGGACCUUAAGUCAGGUGUGAAAGACCGCGGCUCAACCGCGGGGUUGCACCUGAAACUGGGGUUCUUGAGGGCAGGAGAGGAAAGCAGAAUUCCUGGUGUAGCGGUGAAAUGCGUAGAAAUCAGGAGGAAUACCAGUGGCGAAGGCGGCUUUCUGGACUGACCCUGACGCUGAGGUGCGAAAGCGUGGGGAGCAAACAGGAUUAGAUACCCCGGUAGUC